rnacentral:rRNA from 1 species
CUACGGGGGGCUGCAGUGGGGAAUAUUGGACAAUGGGGGAAACCCUGAUCCAGCAAUGCCGCGUGUGUGAAGAAGGCCUGCGGGUUGUAAAGCACUUUCGGUUGGGAGGACUGCUUCUAGCACUAAUAUUGUUGGAAGUUGACGUUACCUUCAGAAGAAGCACCGGCUAGCUCCGUGCCAGCAGCCGCGGUAAUACGGAGGGGGCAAGCGUUAAUCGGAAUUACUGGGCGUAAAGCGCGCGUAGGCGGCUAGAUCAGUCGGGUGUGAAAGCCCCGGGCUUAACCUGGGAACUGCAUCCGAUACUGUCUAGCUUGAGUACAGGAGAGGAGAGUGGAAUUCCACAUGUAGCGGUGAAAUGCGUAGAUAUGUGGAGGAACACCAAUGGCGAAGGCAGCUCUCUGGCCUGAUACUGACGCUGAGGUGCGAAAGCGUGGGGAGCAAACAGGAUUAGAUACCCGCGUAGUC